UCGACAAAUGGAAUUUUGGAAUUAAUUAAUUCGAGAAAUUCGAAUUAUAUUAGCUGCUCAAGCGGAUGCCUCGAGCACAAUGAGCGGUCGAGAUACUUAGAAAAUCGCUCAAGUGGUGGCCUGGGCGAUUGGUGAGCGGUGUGAACGAGUAUGAUUGUUCAUGAAACAUGCUGAUUUUUAGGAUGUGUCUCUCUGACCAGAAUCCUUCAACCUCGAUAAAUUGGACCUUUGAUGGUUCUAAUUCAUUCAUAAUCAUAUGUUUAAUUAUAUUAUACCAAUCCACUGCAAAAUCAUAGUUUUCUUGCAUAAAAAAUUCAUUCAAAGUAGAGUGUACUCUUCAAUUUCGAGUUCAUUGUUUCUUGUCAUUUGAAGUGCUUCUACUGCAAGGAGAAAAUCGUUGUAUCUUGGUCGAUGAUUGUCACUACACCGCUUCAAGACUUCCAGCAAUCAACAAAGGCCAGUUGUGCAACUUAGUCCCCAACAAGUCUCAUCUCAUCCCUUUCUAGGUAAGCGGUUUAUUUACGUUCAUUGAUUGAUUCAAGGUAGCUUUAACUUGAGCACCUUGACAAGGCAAAUUCGUCUUAAAGAGAUAGUGUAAAACACUAACCUCAGUUUACAAUUUCAUUUUUUCAAUCUUUAUUUUUGCAAUUCGUGUUUUCCAUUCCAAGUGGUUUUGUUUUGUUUAAUAUUUCAAAAUAAAAUUUGCAAACUCACACACAGUCACCAACAAUAUUUCCUAAUGGUUAAUUGCGUUUGCUACAAUUAUGGGGGUGGGGGAGAUAUUGCCGAAGGAAUAAAUGAACAAAUUUCUUGUUUUAACAAUCUGGUAAUCAACCAAUACACAUAUCUUCAAUGUGGUGAGUCCUUGAUUAGAUUUUUGGUGGGUUUUUCUUGAUGGUGCUGAAUUUGGUGGUGUGGUGUUCAUGAUGGUGGUGGUUGAAUAUUUCAUUUCGAUGGCAGGGGUUGCUAAAUAGAUGGUGGUGAAACCAAUGCAACGGCGUAUUGCCAGUAUGUGGUGGUUCCCAAAAACAAGGGGAGAGUGAUGAAAAUUGUGGUAAAGGCUGUGGUGGCAGCACCCCGUGCCACUAGGGCGGGUUGGGGUUGUUGAGAAGCUUUUUUAUUUUUCAUCUUCAUCUUUUUCAUUUUUUUUAUUUCAUCCUUUAUUUAUUUUUGUUAAAAUUAUUAUGUUUUGUCCAUUUUGCCCUUGCAAUAUUGACACACAAGG
rnacentral:lncRNA from 1 species